UGAGCAGCAAUCUGCAGGCGGUGAUGAAUCCCGAGGCCAGGCACAGCGGGGCAGGAGAGGAGGUGGCACAGCGCUCCUUCCCGGCACGACGCACGUGUCCCAGCCACGCUCCUUCCCGGCCAGCCAGGGGCACCAGGGAGGAGGGAGGGAGGGAGAAAGGAGGAUGCUUUGUGAGGCAUUGGGGUGUCCUGGGAGACCCUCUGAGGGUGCCGGCAGUGUCUGUGGGGUGAGGAGUGAGGGCUGCUGAGCUGGAGAAGAGCCAGGAGAAGUGCAGGGAGGUUGGGCUGGGCAGCGCAGGCAGCCGGUGCUGCAGAGGAGCAGCAUAGAGAGUAUUGCUGAUGCUGCAGGAGGUGUCUCAGUGGCUGUGAUGGAUACAGGUCCUCUGGCUGCGACCUUUAGAAGACGAGGCAGCCUGGCAGCCAGCUCUGCAGCAGCGUCCCGGCUGGAGCUGAUGGAGGUCCGGGCACACGGACUGCGGUUGAGUCCUGCCAGGAAAGCCAGCACCACAGCCACAGCGCUGCAGCACACGGUCACAGCCCAAACUCCGGUACGCCCCAGGACUUGGGCACUUUCUGCUCCUCUAUCUGCAGGGACACACCAAGGUGGGGGCUGGAACCCACAGGGACGCCAGCACCGCUGCAGAACUGUGCUGGUAGGUAUGGAAACCCCUUUGCGAGGGGUCGGAUGGGGUGAUAAGUGAGGGGAGCGUCUGGGGCACACACCUGUCGGUGUCGCAGGGCUGACGCGCAGCAUCGUGUGGUUCUUGAAGAUGCUGCCGUGCUGAAACAGACGGAUCUCACACGUGUACCUGCCACUGUCGUUCACCUGCACAUCCUGCAGCUGGAUAGAGCCAUCCCAGCACGAGACAUCUCCCUGCCACCGCACCCGGUCUCGGAAAUGGCCCACGGGGACACUAGAGUUGCUGUAGUAAUAAAAUACCAUCUCCUCCUGUC